GACGAACGCUGGCGGCGUGCCUAAUACAUGCAAGUUGAGCGCUGAAGGUUGGUACUUGUACCAACUGGAUGAGCAGCGAACGGGUGAGUAACGCGUGGGGAAUCUGCCUUUGAGCGGGGGACAACAUUUGGAAACGAAUGCUAAUACCGCAUAAAAACUUUAAACACAAGUUUUAAGUUUGAAAGAUGCAAUUGCAUCACUCAAAGAUGAUCCCGCGUUGUAUUAGCUAGUUGGUGAGGUAAAGGCUCACCAAGGCGAUGAUACAUAGCCGACCUGAGAGGGUGAUCGGCCACAUUGGGACUGAGACACGGCCCAAACUCCUACGGGAGGCAGCAGUAGGGAAUCUUCGGCAAUGGACGAAAGUCUGACCGAGCAACGCCGCGUGAGUGAAGAAGGUUUUCGGAUCGUAAAACUCUGUUGGUAGAGAAGAACGCUGGUGAGAGUGGAAAGCUCAUCAAGUGACGGCAACUACCCAGAAAGGGACGGCUAACUACGUG
rnacentral:rRNA from 1 species